UCCAUUCGUCCAUCACAAGGGCGAUGGAGAGCUUAACCAGCAAGGCUUUGUGUGAAAUGCCCUCCCCCAAUCCUCUCCAACAGGUGUGCAGCCUGAGAAAAGGUACUUGUGGAAUUAAACCUAUGGAGUCUGAGAAUAAGGAAUACAUUCACCAUCCAAGAAAAGAAUGCCCGACCAGCAAGUAGGAAGCAGUGUCUGAAGAAUGAAAAAACAAGAGCACUGUUACAUAAAGAGCUUCUCCAUCCGUGGUACCUGCCUGGACUUCUUUGAGAAAUUCAGAGGAAGAUAUUUGGACAAAACAGAGACUGAGGACCAGCUCUCAACAAACUUAUGAGGCUCACAGGGAAACACUCUGACCCUCCCCACCUGUGAAUGGCUGCAGAAAAGAAGAAAUCAACACCCCCAUCCUGUACGAUACUGGCCAAGCCAUGAGAUAUCUUGCAAGUCUUACUUCCUCCCCUCCUCCCCUCUCUGUUCUAUAAAAGAAACUGGCAUCCAGAUCCUGAUAAGUUGGUACUUUAGGGCACUAACCCACCCUAUUCUUGGAUGCCUGGCUUUCUGAAUAAAAUUGCUAUUCCUUGCCUCAACAUCUCACCUCCCAGUUAUUGGCCUGUUGUGUGGCAAGGACACCAAGCUUGGAUUCAGUAACAUAAAUCAGAGAAUAUGAGUGUUGAAAGAGAUCCUUGGAAAAUCCCUCUAGGUAGAUGACUGUGUGACCUGCAGGACAGGUGUUUUUUUUCUUCUGAAAUAUCGCUUAGUCACUCAUGACUGAUACCUCCUCAACUUUUGAUUCCUUCUUGUUGAAAAUAUAAGCUCUUGUAUAAAAUUCAAUCUGAUAUAGAGGAGUCGAAUUAAAAAUAGCAGUAGUGCUCAUGCUUCAAAAGGAACAAGAAUAGAUGUUCCCAGGCACCUAGGAUGUGCUAAUUUAACAGUUUUUUUCCAUUGAUCUUGGCUCCAAAAAGUGAAAUAAAGUUGCAUAAUUUUCUUGUAAGAUAAAAGAAAAAAACUUACAAAAUUUUGAUCAAUGAUAAAUGCUCCAUGGGACUAAAUUCACAGUGGAACUUACCCCCCAAGAUCCUUUAAAAGGGGCAUUUAGUCACUAAUGAGCAUCGUAUUUACACAUAAAUGGUGCCACUUGAAUGGAUGCCUCUUAUUUCAGGCCUUUCCCUGAGGCAUAUCUUACCAAAGGCAUUUGUCAGGUGUUGGGAGAUCUAUAUGGUGGUAGCAGAUCAUCUGAAGGUCCUCAAAGCAUGUGCACAAACUUGAAUGAUCACCUCGCUCAUUACAAGAACCCUCUAGAGGUCAGUCAACAGAAUGAUUGUCCUUAUGUUUCAUGACAAAUUAGUGUUGGACCUGGGACUUGGAGCCAGGGCUCCUAACAUGAAUUCUUCACACUAUUAUGUAUAAAUGCAAGUUCUUGGCUUUCUAAUGACCUAAUCUAAUGACCUAAUAAGGAGAGCCUAAUAGUUGUUGUUCAGUCGCUUAUUCACGUCCGACUCUU